AGAAUGAACGCUGGCGGCAUGCCUAACACAUGCAAGUCGAACGAGAUCCUUCGGGGUCUAGUGGCGCACGGGUGCGUAACGCGUGGGAAUCUACCCUUGGGUUCGGAAUAACAGUGAGAAAUUACUGCUAAUACCGGAUAAUGUCGCAAGACCAAAGAUUUAUUGCCCAAGGAUGAGCCCGCGUAAGAUUAGCUAGUUGGUGGGGUAAAAGCCUACCAAGGCGACGAUCUUUAGCUGGUCUGAGAGGAUGAUCAGCCACACUGGGACUGAGACACGGCCCAGACUCCUACGGGAGGCAGCAGUGGGGAAUAUUGGACAAUGGGCGAAAGCCUGAUCCAGCAAUGCCGCGUGAGUGAUGAAGGCCUUAGGGUUGUAAAGCUCUUUACCCGGGAAGAUAAUGACAGUACCGGAGAAUAAGCUCCGGCUAACUCCGUGCUAGCAGCCGC
rnacentral:rRNA from 1 species